rnacentral:misc_RNA from 1 species
GUGAAUCAUCGAAUCUUUGAACGCACAUUGCGCCCGCCAGUAUUCUGGCGGGCAUGCCUGUCCGAGCGUCAUUUCAACCCUCGAACCCCUCCGGGGGAUCGGCGUUGGGGAUCGGGACCCCUCACCGGGUGCCGGCCCUGAAAUACAGUGGCGGUCUCGCCGCAGCCUCUCCUGCGCAGUAGUUUGCACAACUCGCACCGGGAGCGCGGCGCGUCCACGUCCGUAAAACACCCAACUUCUGAAAUGUUGACCUCGGAUCAGGUAGGAAUACCCGCUGAACUUAAGCAUAUCAAUAAGCGGAGGA